rnacentral:rRNA from 1 species
GACGAACGCUGGCGGCGUGCCUAAUACAUGCAAGUAGAACGCAGUUGCGAACGGGUGAGUAACGCGUAGGUAACUGCCUGGUAGCGGGUGCUAACUAUUGGAAAAGAUAGCUACUACCACAUACUUCAAGCUGUCCCUGCUUUGUAUUAGCUAGUUUGUGGGGUAACUGCUCACCAAGGUAACGAUACAUAACCGAACUGAGAGGGGGAGCGGCCACACUGGGACUGAGAGAUGGCCCAGAACCCUAGGGGAGGGAGCAGGACGGAAUCUCCGGCAAUGGACGGAAGUCUGACCGAGGAACGACGCGGGAGUGAAGAAGGUUUUCGGAUCGUAAAGAUCUGUUGUAAGAGAAGCGGUAUCUUACAAGAAAGGGACGGCUAACUACGUGCCAGCAGCCGCGGUAAUAC